ensembl:lncRNA
GAAGGUCAUAUACACAGGAGGAGGCAGGUAGCUGGGUCCAGGGGCAGGCAGAAGGUCAUAUACACAGGAGGAGGCAGGUAGCUGGGUCCAGGGGCAGGCAGAAGGUCAUACACAGGAGGAGGCAGGUAGCUGGGUCCAGGUGCAGGAAGCUGGGUCCAGGGACAGGCAGAAGGUCAUACACAGGAGGAGGCAGGUAGCUGGGUCCAGGGGCAGGCAGAAGGUCAUACACAGGAGGAGGCAGGUAGCUGGGUCCAGGGGCAGGCAGAAGGUCAUACACAGGAGGAGGCAGCUAGCUGGGUCCAGAGGCAGGCAGAAGGUCAUACAAAGGAGGAGGCAGGUAGCUCGGUCCAGGGGCAGAACGUCAUACACAGGAGGAGGCAGGUAGCUGGGUCCAGGGGCAGGCAGAAGGUCAUACACAGGAGGCAGGUAGCUGGGUCCAGGGACAGGCAGAAGGUCAUACACAGGAGGAGGCAGGUAGCUGGGUCCAGGGGCAGGCAGAAGGUCAUAUACACAGGAGGAGGCAGGUAGCUGGG